rnacentral:snRNA from 1 species
UCCAAGACCAUUAAGGACCAU